UGAUGACUGAAUGGGUCCUGGGAAUAAACAGCCUCGACGAGGAGCCAUCCACUCUGCGAAUGUCAGCUUCUUACGUUCUCUUCCCAGGGCCUCCACUCCUGUUGUCACGCCUUCUUUUUCCCCACGCCCACCAUCUGGAAGUCAGCAUUACACGGCAGGAGCCUCUCCAUCCACAUCUGCUGCGGAGACGGAAGUAACACAGACAGCUGCAACACGGCUGGAUAUCCAGGGCGCCGAUAUCAGAGAGAGAGAAAGCGCGAGCACAAGCAGGGGGAGCAGCAGA